GACGCAGUCGGAAAUCACUAAGGUUAGCAAACACUAACCCUUAGAUCAAAAUCAAGCUCUCAAGCAAGAACUCGAAUAUUAAGCUCUGGAAUCCACCAGAAAAGAUAAAAGCUUAAAAACUUCUAUUGAUAAGAAAAGAUAUGAAUGUCCAAAACAGAAUACCUAAAACUCUCUUAUAUAGAGAGAGCCUAAAACAUAAAAAGGUAAAUCCCUAUAAUAAAAAGAAAACAUGAAAUAAAAGGAAAACUUCUAGAUUAGGUUAUGUAAAUCUAAGAGUCUCCUACAUCAGUCUCCUCCACCUCGAAAGAACUCGACCCCGAGUUCUCUUCUGGAUAAAGAACACCAUCAGCAUGGUACUCAUAGAUGUCAGCCACAUUGAACGUAUUAGAAAUGUUCAUGUCUUCUGGAAGUGCCACCACAUAAGCAUUAUCAUUUAACUUCCGCAAAAUCUUGAAUGGACCAUAUUUGCGAGGCUGUAGCUUGCGAUAUGUGCCCACGGGGAAUCUUUCUUUUCGUAGAAACACCAUCACUUCAUCUCCUUCUUUGAAAACCUUGAGUCUUCUACGCUUGUCUGCUGCUUCUUUAUUCUUUUGGCCAGUUGCUUCUAACUUCGCUCGGACAGCGUCUCUAGUUGCUAGAAUAUCCUCUGCCAUAGCCUCAGCUGAGAUACUAACUCCAGGAGCUUUAGGCAACUUAACCAAAUCGACCACAUGCUUCGGAAUAGAACAAUAGACCAAAGAAAAAGGUGAUUUCCCUGUAGCUGAGUGCACGGCACUGUUGUAAGCAAACUCCACUUGAGGUAAAGCCAGAUCCCAUUGUUUCGGUUUAUCUCCACAAACACUUCGAAUCAUAUUCCCCAAAGUUCUAUUCGUCACCUCGGUUUGCCCAUCAGUCUGUGGAUGAGCUGUAGAACUCCGUUUCAAGCUGGUUCCAAACAUUCUCCAAAGUGUAAUCCAGAAGUGACUCAGAAACUUGGUAUCUCUGUCGGAAAUUAUUGUCUUAGGAACCCCAUGAAGACGUACCACUUCCCGAAAAAAUAACUUGGCGAUGUUAGAGGCAUCUGCAGUCUUCUUGCAAGCGAUGAAAUGCGACAUCUUGGAGAAUCUGUCAACGACCACAAACACAGAAUCGACGCCUCGCUGUGUACGAGGUAAGCCUAGCACAAAAUCCAUAGACAAGUCUUGCCAAAUAUCUUCUGGGAUUGGUAAUGGCAUAUAAAGUCCAGUGUUCUGAGAUUGUCCUUUGGAAACCUGACAGAUAUAACACCUUUUAACUAUAGCACCCGCAUCUCUCCUUAAAUGUGGCCAAUAAAACCUUGUCUCCAAGCUAGCAAUGGUCUUGUCUCUUCCCAAAUGACCACUAAGGCCGCCACCAUGCAAAUCGCGAAUCAACUUUUCUCGUAAUGACGAGCAAGGAAUGCACAGCCUGUCUCCUUUAAAAAGAUAACCAUCUCGUAUGUGGAAAUCUGCCGAAGGAUGCUUCCCAUUACAUUUGCCCCAUAACUCCUUGAAUUCAACAUCACAUUCGUACAACUCCUUCAAAGACUCGAAACCCACAACCUCUUGUGCUAAGAUAGUGAGUAAGGAAGCUCUUCUACUCAAGGCGUCUGCCACCUUGUUAAGAGUUCCAGACUUAUGCUGAAUAAUGAAAGGAAACUUUUGCAGAAAACUUACCCAACGAGCAUGCAUCUUAUUUAUCACUUUCUGGCUGUGAAGAUACUUUAGAGCUUGGUGGUCUGUAAAUAGAACAAACUCUCUCUGAACCAAGUAAUGCUCCCAUUGUCGAAGAGCUCGAAAAACCGCAUAGAACUCUUGAUCAUACGUGCUCCACUUUUGGCGAGCUUCACUUAACUUUUCACUAAAGAAAGCUAUCGGUCGUUUUUCUUGUGAUAAGACGGCACCUAUUCCCACACCACUAGCGUCACAUUCCACUUGAAACACUUUGUCAAAAUCGGGUAAGGCUAAUACUGGUGCAGUACAAAGCCUCUCUUUAAUUAAAGCAAAACUCUCUUCCUGUUCAGAUCCCCAAUGAAACUUCCCUUUCUUCAAACACUCAGUGAUAGGCGCAGUAAUGGUACUAAAAUCUCUAACAAAUCUUCUGUAGAAAGUAGCUAGACCAUGAAAGCUGCGUAUCUCAGUGACUGACUUAGGAACCGGCCAAUCCCUUAUGGCACUCACUUUCUCCUGGUCAACCUGAAUCCCUUCUUCACCAAUAACAAAUCCAAGAAAUAACAGCUUGUUGGUGCUGAACGUACAUUUUUUUAGAUUGAUGUACAAUUGGUUUUCUUGUAAAACCUGCAAAACUUGCUUCAAAUGUUCCAUAUGCUCGUCUUUUGUUUUACUGUAUAUCAAAAUGUCAUCAAAAUAAACCACCACAAAAGAACCAAUGAACGGGCGGAGAACCUGGUUCAUUAAUCUCAUGAAAGUGCUAGGAGCAUUUGACAACCCAAAAGGCAUCACCAUCCAUUCGAAUAAUCCGUCUUUACUCUUAAAAGCAGUUUUCCACUCAUCUCCAGGCCUGAUUCGAAUUUGAUGAUAGCCACUUCGAAGAUCUAUUUUUGAAAACACCUUAGAACCUGACAACUCAUCAAGCAUAUCUUCCAACCGGGGUAUAGGGAAUCGAUAUUUAAUGGUUAUCUUAUUAAUGGCUCUACUAUCAACACACAUCCGCCACUGGUUACCUUUCUUAGGAACUAGCAGAACCGGUACGGCACAUGGACUCAUGCUCUCACGAAUAAAUCCUUUUCUCAGCAAAUCUUCAAUCUGUUCCCUUAAAAUCUCAUUCUCCUUAGGGCUCAUACGGUAAUGGGGAAGAUUUGGCAGACUGGAUCCUGGAAUCAAGUCAAUAUGAUGCUGAAUAUCUCUCAUGGGAGGUAGAUCAUUAGGAAGUUCUUCCGCAAUCAACUCUUUGAAGUCAUCCAGAAUUUCUAACACUUCUCUUGGGGUUGACGUUUCCUCCGUUACUGCACUCAACAACCCUUUAACAACCAAGGGGUAGAAACACCUUGCUUCUUGAACAUCCCCAUCAAGCUCUUUGUCGUCAUGUGUCAUAACCAAGAAACUUGACUUCUUUUCCUUCGCAGUGUUACAAAAAUCCUUAACAGGUGCCAUGGCAAUUUUAUGGUUGCCCCACGUAAACAUUAUCACAUUGUCUCGACCUCGAUAUGUGAUAUCGUUAUCAUACUGCCAAGGUCGUCCAAGAAGAAUGUGACAAACAUCCAUGUCAAGAACGUCACAAGUGAUCUCCUCCUUAUAAUGUUUACCUAUAGAUAUGAGAACUUUGCAAGUCAUGCUAACUCGAACUUGUGAUCCUCUCUUCACCCAACCAAGACCGUAUGGUUUCUCAUGACGGGUUGUGGGUAGCUUCAGAUAGUCCACCAGCUUUUGAGAAACUAAAUUCUCUGAGCUUCCAUUAUCCACAAUCACAUUACACACCUUGUUUUGAAUAGAACAAUGUGUUCUAAACAAAUUCUUACGUUGGCCUUCUUCUUUAGAUGAUAACAAGACUCGUUGCAGCACAAGGUUUAUCAUCUCUCCAGAUUCUUCUUCAGCGAAUUCAGCUCCCUCAUAUUCUUCAUUCUCAGCAAAAUCCCUUUCAUCCUCUUCAUCUUCUUCCUCUAUGAUAGCAACUGUUCUCCGACUUGGACAGACAUUUGAUUUAUGACCAUGUCCUUGGCAACGGAAACACUUGUCAAUGGAAGGCUUAGCAUAAGGAUUGUUUUGUCUCUGAGCUGGUGCCUUGUUCUGUUGGGUUGAGUUAGAGCUACUAGCUCCUUUGUUUCCCGGAUUGGAGUCUUUAUUGGCUACACUCUUUUCUUUCUCACUUGUUGGUUCAAAAUUGGUCUGAGCCGUGUUUCUUCUAAAUGUUGAGAACCCGCGUGAUGACUUCUCCAUUAACUCAGCUUUUAAUGCUAGACUGGAAGCUUCCUGCACAGUCCAUACGGUUUGCAAACCCAUCUUUCCCUGAAGAGAACCCUUUAACCCACUGAUGUACCUAGCCACCUUCUGAUUCUCUGUUUCGCCUAACUCAUUGCGUUCAGAGAAACGCAAGAAUUCAGCUGUGUACUCGGUCACAGUUCUGUUUCCUUGAACACAAUCGAGAUACAUCUUGUAAAGAAUUUGUUCGUAAUCUUCUGGUAAGAAUCGCUCCAGCAUUAAUUGCUUCAUUCGACGCCAAGUCCUAACUGGUCCUCUCCUUUGUCUUUGCCUUUGGACAACGAGUUUAUCCCACCACACUGCAGCAGUCUUCUUCAGUUUGACAGCUACCAUCUUAACUUGUUUAUUCUCAGGAACGCCCAUGACAUCAAAAAAUCGAUCAACAUCAAUUUGCCAAUCAAGAAACUCCUCCACUCCCAUAGUUCCAUAGAACAAUGGAAUAUCGGCUUUUACCCGAUAAUCAUAAUUGUUUUGUUGGUUUCCUUCAGCUAUUUCUUCUUCUGAUUCUUCUUCUGAACUAGAAUUAUCAACAAUAACAUCACGAUUGUUUCGACCUUGUUGACCCCGAAUUGGUCUUCUUUCUCCACCUCUUUGACCGGCGUUAUUAACCUGAUUGGGAUAAGCCACAACCUGAUUAUUUAACGCAGUUACCAGAUUUGCCAAUUGAGCAGUUACAGUAGUGAGGUUUGUGGUUGCCUCCCUUAAACCUUCUGCGAAACCCUCGAAGUCGGCUUUGGUUACUGGUUGAUCACCCAUGGCUGAUCAAGCUUCGAAAAGAGAAGGAGAAGACCUUGCUCUGAUACCACUUGACGCAGUCGGAAAUCACUAAGGUUAGCAAACACUAACCCUUAGAUCAAAAUCAAGCUCUCAAGCAAGAACUCGAAUAUUAAGCUCUGGAAUCCACCAGAAAAGAUAAAAGCUUAAAAACUUCUAUUGAUAAGAAAAGAUAUGAAUGUCCAAAACAGAAUACCUAAAACUCUCUUAUAUAGAGAGAGCCUAAAACAUAAAAAGGUAAAUCCCUAUAAUAAAAAGAAAACAUGAAAUAAAAGGAAAACUUCUAGAUUAGGUUAUGUAAAUCUAAGAGUCUCCUACAUCAG
rnacentral:lncRNA from 1 species